rnacentral:rRNA from 1 species
CGUAGGUAACCUGCCUUGUAGCGGGGGAGUAACUAUUGGAAACGAUAGCUAAUACCGCAUAACAAUGGAUGACACAUGUCAUUUAUUUGAAAGGGGCAAUUGCUCCACUACAAGAUGGACCUGCGUUGUAUUAGCUAGUAGGUGAGGUAACGGCUCACCUAGGCGACGAUACAUAGCCGACCUGAGAGGGUGAUCGGCCACACUGGGACUGAGACACGGCCCAG